rnacentral:rRNA from 1 species
AUUGAACGCUGGCGGCAUGCUUUACGCAUGCAAGUCGAACGGUAACAGGCCGCAAGGUGCUGACGAGUGGCGAACGGGUGAGUAAUGCAUCGGAACGUGCCCAGUCGUGGGGGAUAACGCAGCGAAAGCUGCGCUAAUACCGCAUACGAUCUCUGGAUGAAAGCGGGGGAUCGAAAGGCCUCGCGCGAUUGGAGCGGCCGAUGUCAGAUUAGGUAGUUGGUGGGGUAAAGGCCCACCAAGCCAACGAGCUGUAGCUGGUCUGAGAGGACGACCAGCCACACUGGGGCUGUGACGCGGCCCAGAAUCCUACAGGAGGCAGAAGUGGGGAAUUUUGGACAAUGGGCGCAAGCCUGAUCCAGGAAUGCCGCGUGCAGGAAGAAGGCCUGCGGGGUGUAAACUGCUUUUGUACGGAACGAAACGGUCCGGGUUAAUACCCUGGGCUAAUGACGGUACCGUAAGAAUAAGCACCGGCUAACUACGUGCCAGCAGCCGCGGUAAGAC